GCAGACAUAGCUCAAUUGGGAGAGCGGCGGCAAUUAAGGCGGGAUUGCUCGCGACGAUGCAGGUUCAAUCCCUGCUGUCUGCGCCA
rnacentral:tRNA from 1 species